CGAGUGAAGCGUUACUACUUUGCCAGUCAUUAGACAUACCACAGCAAAAGUUCCUGAUGAGUGCCAAGAAUGUUUGAUUGUUCAAGAUCGCCUAACCUGUAUUUAUCUGCGGCCAUUCUUCUUUGAUGCAACUUCACAUUCCGCAGCAUUUCUCCCGCACUUUAUUUAAAAUAAUGUCAAACGCCAAAGCAAUCGAAGCUAGAAUCCAAGAAGCGUUUCACAUUCUGUCACGAGAGGCAAAAGAGUUAUAUUUACAAAGUGAAGUUGCAGAAAUAAAACAUAUAAUUACGCCACUUAUUUUCUAUCGAGAGUACGUUUCAAAAAAUAUUCCAUUAAUUAUAAGAGGAGCAGUGAAUCACUGGCCUGCAGUAAACAAAUGGUCCAUACCAUAUUUCUAUAAGAUACUUGGUGACGAAAAAGUUUCAGUCGCUGUAACACCAAAUGGUUAUGCAGAUGCAAUAGCUAAAGAUGAGGAAACCAAGAAAGAAUUCUUUGUAAUGCCUGAAGAACGAUUACUCAUGAUGUCAGAAUUUCUCAAUAUGUUAGAAAACACGAAAGAGAACAGUGUAUAUUAUAUACAAAAACAAAACUCGAAUUUCAUUCUCACAAGCUUUCGCAAGUUAUGGUCGGAUGCAGAAAUUGAAAUACCAUGGGCCAGUGAAGCAUUUGGAAAAAAUCCCGAUGCUGUGAACUUUUGGAUGGGAGACAAAAGAGCUAUAACUUCCAUGCACAAAGAUCCCUAUGAAAAUAUAUAUUGUGUCGUGUCCGGUGAAAAAAACUUUAUUUUACAUCCUCCCACGGAUUUACCGUGGAUUCCAUAUCAAAAUUAUCCAUCUGCCAUUUACAAGGAGUGCAAGCCCGAAAAGUGGAUUAUUGAACCAAUAGUUAAUAAAACGUCUGAUUCAGAAGAAAUCGCAGAUUCAACUUCACUACCAUGGAUAUGUGUAGAUCCGCUAAAUCCGGACUAUGAAAAAUAUCCGAAGUAUCGUAACGUACACAGCAUGAAAGUCACUCUCAGAGCUGGGGAUAUAUUAUAUUUGCCAUCACUAUGGUAUCAUCAUGUUACACAAUCUCAUGCUUGCAUAUCCAUCAAUUAUUGGUACGAUAUGGAAUUUGAUAUCAAGUAUGCCUAUUUUAAAACACUCGAAACAUUGUGCAAAUGAACAAGUGGUUAAGGCACGCUUUAAACAUUUAUAGAUUAUAAUCUUACUGCUAUGUGCUUUAUGAAACUGCCAAGGAAUUACUAGAAAGUUUAAGUCAGGCCGUUUCAUCAUUAUUUUCGAUGGAUGUAGAGAAUAUGAAGCGAACAGUAGAUAUAUCCUACAUACAGAAUGCUCGAACACAGAUGAGUUGAGAUGUUAAUUAGAAAUAAUAAACCAAAUAAGACGCUCAAAAAAGAAAUAAAAAUGACAAUUGUUUUAAGAGAUGAUGAACUCAUAUAUCAAUGGAGAUGUUUGUAGCAACAUGAAAAAGUUAAUAAUCAAAUCGAGAAGAAACAAGCGAUUAUCCGUUUUUCUUUUUCUGACAGCCAAACCGCCUCUUAGAAGGAAAAAAGAAUCGCCUGCACCGUCUUUGCAUACAUUAUAGAUUAUUGAAUAAAAAGAUAAUAAAAGAUAGUUAUCUAUUAUCUUUAAUAGAAGACCAACUAGACAUGUCACAGAACGCACAGACUUUUAGUAUAAUAAAUUUAAAAAAAUAGCUUUUUUUCAUAUUCGAAUAAGUCGAGUAUAAAAUAUACGGAGUUUGUUAUUUCUGAUAGUCAAUUUCUGCGAGUGCUAUUUGGUCUUUGUAACUCGCCUCCGUUUUUCAGAGUUAUAUUAAUGUGAUUUUUAAAAAUUUAAUGCGAAACAAAAUAACGUUAGUUUAUAUGGAUGAUUUGAUUGUAUUUUUCAAUGAUUGUGAAUGGCUUAGAAAAUGUAAAAAAAAAAGAAAUACUCAAUAUUCUGCCAAGUGAGUCAGUCUUAUGAUUAAUUGGAAUAAACUGUUGUUUGAAAAAAACGAUCGAAUUUUAGCGAGCAUGAUAGUUAACGAACAUGUUCAAUUGUCCAAGUAAAAAAAUCGAAACAAAGCAUUUUUUCAAAUCUAAGAUUGUCUGACAAAUACAAAUGUUUCUAAGUUUAACUAGACUAUACUUCCAUAAAUUUAUGCCGAAAUAUGCUAUAAUUGUACAAACAUUAACUAAUUUGUUCAGAGCGAAUGCUAAAGAGGAUACUAAGGUUUGGCCAUUUUUGGACCAAAGCUGGUAUAAGUUCAGGUCCAAGUUCAUCAUUAGAAUAUGAGAAACAAUAAAUAAUUUCUAGAAACCUUCUAGAAACAAUAAAGAAUAAUUAUUUAUCUACCAAGAAAAGUCUGAGAAAAGUUAUGAAAAUGAAAUUAUUACUAAUUACUAAAAUUAUCAUGAGAUUUUUAAAAUAUUAUAUUCUUUAAAAAAAUUAAUUGCAUAUGUUGAGAGAUGAAUAAUAAAUGUAGAGGAUGACUUUUUAGUUCA
rnacentral:misc_RNA from 1 species